AACCCCAAUACCCAAAAUACCAACCCAACUAGUCUAACCCAAACCCGAGGUCCAAAUUCGGAGCCCAAUUCCCUAAAAGUCAAGCUAGGGCUUCAGAAAAGAAACCCUAGCGCCGCAGCCCUCUGCCCCCUAGCUCUGCUAGCCGCCGCUUACGUCCCGUCACCAGGCCCUCUUGCCACCGACUCACCUGCUCCAACUGCUCCGCCAGUACCUGCAACAAACACCAACAAGCAACAGCAAAUACGGAUAGCAAAAGGAGAUUUUUUAUUUUGUAUUUUGGCUAUAUAAG
rnacentral:lncRNA from 1 species